GAGUUUGAUCCUGGCUUAGAGAGAGCGCUGGCGGCAGGCCUAACACAUGCAAGUCGAACGGUAACAGAACUAGCUUGCUAGUUGCUGACGAGUGGCGGACGGGUGAGUAAUACUUAGGGAUCUGCCUCUGUGUGGGGGAUAACUAUUGGAAACGAUAGCUAAUACCGCAUAACGUCUACGGACCAAAGAGGGCUUCGGCUCUCGCGCAGAGAGGAACCUAAGCGAGAUUAGCUUGUUGGUGAGGUAAAGGCUCACCAAGGCGACGAUCUCUAGCUGUUCUGAGAGGAAGAUCAGCCACACUGGAACUGAGACACGGUCCAGACUCCUACGGGAGGCAGCAGUGAGGAAUAUUGCACAAUGUGGGCAACCCUGAUGCAGCCAUGCCGCGUGUGUGAAGAAGCCUUCGGGUUGUAAGCACUUUCAGUUGUGAG
rnacentral:rRNA from 1 species